rnacentral:siRNA from 1 species
AGAGACUUACGUUCAUCCAGAUCC